rnacentral:siRNA from 1 species
UGGGUGGUAUACUCCUCUUUCCU